rnacentral:rRNA from 1 species
CAGCCGCCGCGGUAAUACGAAGGGGGCUAGCGUUGUUCGGAAUCACUGGGCGUAAAGCGCACGUAGGCGGAUACUUAAGUCAGGGGUGAAAUCCCGGGGCUCAACCUCGGAACUGCCUUUGAUACUGGGUAUCUUGAGUCCGGGAGAGGUUGGUGGAACUCCGAGUGUAGAGGUGAAAUUCGUAGAUAUUCAGAAGAACACCAGUGGCGAAGGCGGCCAACUGGCCCGGUACUGACGCUGAGGUGCGAAAGCGUGGGGAGCAAAUGGGAUUAGAUACCCCUGUAGUCCCUGUCUCUUAUAA